GAUCCUGCCUCAGAUUGAACGCUGGCGGCAGGCCUAACACAUGCAAGUCGAACGGUAACAGGAAGCAGCUUGCUGCUUUGCUGACGAGUGGCGGACGGGUGAGUAAUGUCUGGGAAACUGCCCGAUGGAGGGGGAUAACUACUGGAAACGGUAGCUAAUACCGCAUAACGUCGCAAGACCAAAGAGGGGGACCUUAGGGCCUCUUGCCAUCGAAUGUGCCCAGAUGGGAUUAGCUAGUAGGUGGGG
rnacentral:rRNA from 1 species